rnacentral:rRNA from 1 species
UUUAAAUAUAAUAUUAAAUAUUAGAGUAGUAAUAGUUAUUUUCUUAAAACUUAAAAAAUUUGGCGGUAUUUUAUUCUAUUCAGAGGAAUUUGUUUUAUAAUCGAUAAUCCACGUUGGAUCUUACUUAAAUUUGUUUAAUUUGUAUAUCGUUGUUAUAAGAAUAUCAUAAAAAAGUAAUAAUUUUCUAAUUUAAUAAAUAUUUUAUAUAUCAGAUCAAGGUGCAGUUUAUGUUUAAGAAAAAAUGAGUUACAAUUAAUUUUAUUAAAAUGGAUUAAAUAUUGAAAUAUAUUUAUGAAGGUGGAUUUGAAUGUAAAUUUUUAAAGAUUAAAAAAUUGAUAUUAGUUUUAAAAUGUGU